rnacentral:rRNA from 1 species
GAGUUUGAUCGUGGCUCAGGAUGAACGCUAGCUACAGGCUUAACACAUGCAAGUCGAACGAAGCGCCUUGGACAGAUUCUUCGGAUGAAGUUUUUGGUGACUGAGUGGCGGACGGGUGAGUAACGCGUGGGUAACCUGCCUCAUACAGGGGGAUAACAGUUAGAAAUGGCUGCUAAUACCGCAUAAGCGCACGGUACUGCAUGGUACAGUGUGAAAAACUCCGGUGGUAUGAGAUGGACCCGCGUUGGAUUAGCUAGUUGGCAGGUAACGGCCUACCA